rnacentral:rRNA from 1 species
AUGUCUGGGAAACUGCCUGAUGGAGGGGGAUAACUACUGGAAACGGGCAAACUAAAUACCGUCAUUAACCGUCGUCAAAGACCCGAGAGAGGUGGGUACCUUCGGGCCUCUUGCCAUCGGAUGUGCCCAGAUGGUGAUUAGCUUGUUGGUGAGGUAAAGGCUCACCAAGGCGACGAUCCCUAGCUGGUCUGAGAGGAUGACCAGCCACACUGGAACUGAGACACGGUCCAGACUCCUACGGGAGGCAGCAGUGGGGAAUAUUGCACAAUGGGCGCAAGCCUGAUGCAGCCAUGCCGCGUGUGUGAAGAAGGCCUUCGGGUUGUAAAGCACUUUCAGCGGGGAGGAAGGCGGUGAGUUUAAUAAGCUCACCGAUUGACGUUACCCGCAGAAGAAGCACCGGCUAACUCCGUGCCAUCAGCCGCGGUAAUACGGAGGGUGCGAGCGUUAAUCGGAAUUACUGGGCGUAAAGCGCACGCAGGCGGUCUGUCAACUCGGAUGUGAAAUCCCCGGGCUCAACCUGGGAACUGCAUUCGAAAGUGGCAGGCUAAAGUCUUGUACAGGGGG